AUUGAACGCUGGCGGCAGGCCUAACACAUGCAAGUCGAGCGGUAGCACAGAGAGCUUGCUCUCGGGUGACGAGCGGCGGACGGGUGAGUAAUGUCUGGGAAACUGCCUGAUGGAGGGGGAUAACUACUGGAAACGGCAGCUAAUACCGCAUAAUGUCGCAAGACCAAAGUGGGGGACCUUCGGGCCUCAUGCCAUCAGAUGUGCCCAGAUGGGAUUAGCUAGUAGGUGGGGUAACGGCUCACCUAGGCGACGAUCCCUAGCUGGUCUGAGAGGAUGACCAGCCACACUGGAACUGAGACACGGUCCAGACUCCUACGGGAGGCAGCAGUGGGGAAUAUUGCACAAUGGGCGCAAGCCUGAUGCAGCCAUGCCGCGUGUGUGAAGAAGGCCUUCGGGUUGUAAAGCACUUUCAGCGGGGAGGAAGGCGUUAAGGUUAAUAACCUUGGCGAUUGACGUUACCCGCAGAAGAAGCACCGGCUAACUCCGUGCCAGCAGCCGCGGUAAUACGGAGGGUGCAAGCGUUAAUCGGAAUUACUGGGCGUAAAGCGCACGCAGGCGGUCUGUCAAGUCGGAUGUGAAAUCCCCGGGCUCAACCUGGGAACUGCAUUCGAAACUGGCAGGCUAGAGUCUUGUAGAGGGGGGUAGAAUUCCAGGUGUAGCGGUGAAAUGCGUAGAGAUCUGGAGGAAUACCGGUGGCGAAGGCGGCCCCCUGGACAAAGACUGACGCUCAGGUGCGAAAGCGUGGGGAGCAAACAGGAUUAGAUACCCUGGUAGUCCACGCCGUAAACGAUGUCGAUUUGGAGGUUGUGCCCUUGAGGCGUGGCUUCCGGAGCUAACGCGUUAAAUCGACCGCCUGGGGAGUACGGCCGCAAGGUUAAAACUCAAAUGAAUUGACGGGGGCCCGCACAAGCGGUGGAGCAUGUGGUUUAAUUCGAUGCAACGCGAAGAACCUUACCUGGUCUUGACAUCCACAGAACUUUCCAGAGAUGGAUUGGUGCCUUCGGGAACUGUGAGACAGGUGCUGCAUGGCUGUCGUCAGCUCGUGUUGUGAAAUGUUGGGUUAAGUCCCGCAACGAGCGCAACCCUUAUCCUUUGUUGCCAGCGGUUAGGCCGGGAACUCAAAGGAGACUGCCAGUGAUAAACUGGAGGAAGGUGGGGAUGACGUCAAGUCAUCAUGGCCCUUACGACCAGGGCUACACACGUGCUACAAUGGCAUAUACAAAGAGAAGCGACCUCGCGAGAGCAAGCGGACCUCAUAAAGUAUGUCGUAGUCCGGAUUGGAGUCUGCAACUCGACUCCAUGAAGUCGGAAUCGCUAGUAAUCGUAGAUCAGAAUGCUACGGUGAAUACGUUCCCGGGCCUUGUACACACCGCCCGUCACACCAUGGGAGUGGGUUGCAAAAGAAGUAGGUAGCUUAACCUUCGGGAGGGCGCUUACCACUUUGUGAUUCAUGACUGGGGUGA
rnacentral:rRNA from 1 species